UACGUAGGGACCAAGCGUUGUCCGGAAUCAUUGGGCGUAAAGAGCGUGUAGGCGGCUUGGUAAGUCCGCUGUGAAAGUCCAGGGCUUAACCCUGGAAAGCCAGUGGAAACUGUCAAGCUAGAGUCCGGAAGAGGUGAGUGGAACUCCUGGUGUAGCGGUGAAAUGCGCAGAUAUCAGGAAGAACACCAAUGGCGAAGGCAGCUCACUGGGACGGUACUGACGCUGAGACGCGAAAGCGUGGGGAGCAAACAGG
rnacentral:rRNA from 1 species